GACGAACCGUCCUAACGUUGUUCGGAAUCACUGGGCUUAAAGGGCGCGUAGGCGGUCGGCAAAGUUAGGGGUGAAAUCUUUCGGCUUAACCGGAAAAGUGCCUUUAAAACUAGUCGACUCGAGCGAGAUAGGGGCAACUGGAACUUCCGGUGGAGCGGUGAAAUGCGUUGAUAUCGGGAGGAACACCGGUGGCGAAGGCGGCGACCUGGGUCGAUACUGACGCUGAGGUGCGAAAGCGUGGGGAGCAAACAGG
rnacentral:rRNA from 1 species